GACGAACCGUGCGAACGUUGUUCGGAAUCACUGGGCUUAAAGGGCGCGUAGGCGGGCUGUCAAGUCUGGGGUGAAAUGCCGCGGCUCAACCGUGGAACUGCCUCAGAUACUGACGGCCUCGAGGAAGGUAGGGGCAUGCGGAACUGUAGGUGGAGCGGUGAAAUGCGUUGAUAUCCGAAGGAACGCCGGUGGCGAAAGCGACGUGCUGGACCUUUUCUGACGCUGAGGCGCGAAAGCCAGGGGAGCAAACGGG
rnacentral:rRNA from 1 species